rfam:Ovis aries breed Texel chromosome 15, whole genome shotgun sequence.
UCCUUAGUGGCUCAGACAGUAAAGCGUCUGCCCACAAGGCAGAAGACCCAGGUUCAAUUCCUGGGUCAGGAA